AUCAAGAUGGGACGGCUCGAGGUCGUGCCGUACGGAAGCCUCGAGUAGGUCAGCGCUCCAUGCGGCUAUCGACCCCUACUCUAACGUCUACGCAUGUACCCUGUGUCUCUCCUUGGAGCUAUAAAAGGAAAGACUCAGGAAUAGAAGUGGAGGACAACACAAGACCACACUCAUACGUAGAAGAGCUCCACACUUCAUACCACGCAUGUAUUCGCCCCUGUACAAGCACUUAGGUGCAAGAUAAUACAAACGCUCUCCCCCCGCUGGACGUAGGGCCUUCUCUUGCCCGAACCAGGAUAAACCUUUGUGUCUUCUUGCAUCACCAUCCGGGAAAGGGAGCAC
rnacentral:lncRNA from 1 species